rnacentral:rRNA from 1 species
ACCGGCGCACGGGUGAGUAACGCGUAUGCAACCUACCUAUCAGAGGGGAAUAACCCGGCGAAAGUCGGACUAAUACCGCAUAAAACAGGGGCACCGCAUGGUGAUAUUUGUUAAAGAAAUUCGCUGAUAGAUGGGCAUGCGUUCCAUUAGGUAGUUGGUGAGGUAACGGCUCACCAAGCCGACGAUGGAUAGGGGAACUGAGAGGUUGGUCCCCCACACUGGUACUGAGACACGGACCAGACUCCUACGGGAGGCAGCAGUGAGGAAUAUUGGUCAAUGGGCGGGAGCCUGAACCAGCCAAGUCGCGUGAAGGAAGAAGGAUCUAUGGUUCGUAAACUUCUUUUGCAGGGGAAUAAAGUGCAGGACGUGUCCUGUUUUGUAUGUACCCUGAGAAUAAGGAUCGGCUAACUCCGUGCCAGCAGCCGCGGUAAUACGGAGGAUCCGAGCGUUAUCCGGAUUUAUUGGGUUUAAAGGGUGCGUAGGUGGUUUGAUAAGUCAGCGGUGAAAGUUUGCAGCUUAACUGUAAAAAUGCCGUUGAAACUGUCGGACUUGAGUGUAAAUGAGGUAGGCGGAAUGCGUGGUGUAGCGGUGAAAUGCAUAGAUAUCACGCAGAACUCCGAUUGCGAAGGCAGCUUACUAAGCUACAACUGACACUGAAGCACGAAAGCGUGGGGAUCAAACAGGAUUAGAUACCCUGGUAGUCCACGCA